UAAUAUCUACAAAGUGAUCGUGCAAAAACGUCGCAAUGGACGCAGAUGGUAAUUUAAUGAUGGCUUCCUCAGCUAGCAACGAUCCCAAUACAUCCAGAAUCCGAGGCCCAGUUGAGAAAUUUAUAACCAGUUAUGAAGUAUUAAAGUAAAUGUGCGAUAUGUACAUACGCACAUAUGUAGUUA